GCCGAUGUAGCUCAGUGGCAGAGCAUUUCCAUGGUAAGGAAAAGGUCGCCAGUUCAAUCCUGGCCAUCGGCUCAA
rnacentral:tRNA from 1 species